rnacentral:lncRNA from 1 species
GAUAUAUUUGAAAGAACUUUUUGAAGCUAGAAAGAGUAUUUGGUCGAUCAAGAAUAAAUUAGAUAUUUUUGAAGUUUUGAAGGGCAUAUUUGAUAUUAUCUCGCGUAUGCGUGUGUGUGUGCGUGUGUGCAGUUCGAACAGCAACAGUUGCAUUCAAAUCAUCAAACCAAACAUUGAAUUUGAGAUUACAUAUAGUUACAACUGCUGUGUAAUUACAACUACAUACAACCAAAUAGCUAAAU